rnacentral:rRNA from 1 species
AUUGAACGCUGGCGGCAGGCCUAACACAUGCAAGUCGAACGGUAACAGGAAACAGCUUGCUGUUUCGCUGACGAGUGGCGGACGGGUGAGUAAUGUCUGGGAAACUGCCUGAUGGAGGGGGAUAACUACUGGAAACGGUAGCUAAUACCGCAUAACGUCGCAAGACCAAAGAGGGGGACCUUCAGGCCUCUUGCCAUCGGAUGUGCCCAGAUGGGAUUAGCUUGUUGGUGGGGUAACGGCUCACCAAGGCGACGAUCCCUAGCUGGUCUGAGAGGAUGACCAGCCACACUGGAACUGAGACACGGUCCAGACUCCUACGGGAGGCAGCAGUGGGGAAUAUUGCACAAUGGGCGCAAGCCUGAUGCAGCCAUGCCGCGUGUAUGAAGAAGGCCUUCGGGUUGUAAAGUACUUUCAGCGGGGAGGAAGGGAGUAAAGUUAAUACCUUUGCUCAUUGACGUUACCCGCAGAAGAAGCACCGGCUAACUCCGUGCCAGCCGCCGCAGUAA